GUCUACGGCCAUGCCACCCUGAAUGUGCCCUGUCUAGUCUGAUCUCGGAAGUUGAACAGAAUCGGGCCUGGUUAGUACUUGGAUGUGAGACCACCUAGGAAUAUCAAGUGCUGAGAAA
rnacentral:rRNA from 1 species